rnacentral:rRNA from 1 species
GACGUAGGGCGCGAGCGUUGUCCGGAUUUAUUGGGCGUAAAGAGCUCGUAGGCGGCUUGUUGCGUCGACCGUGAAAACCCGCGGCUUAACUGCGGGCUUGCGGUCGAUACGGGCGGGCUGGAGUUCGGUAGGGGAGACUGGAAUUCCUGGUGUAGCGGUGAAAUGCGCAGAUAUCAGGAGGAACACCCGGUGGCGAAGGCGGGUCUCUGGGCCGAUACUGACGCUGAGGAGCGAAAGCGUGGGGAGC